GACCCGAGCCCGCACGCCGCUGUAGACCCGUGUUCAGCGCCUACGUCCCCUGCCGCCGCCAUGCCCAAAAGAAAGGCUGAAGGGGAUGCUAAAGGAGACAAAGCCAAGGUGAAGGACGAGCCACAGAGAAGAUCCGCAAGAUUGUCUGCUAAACCUGCUCCUCCAAAGCCAGAGGCCAAGCCUAAAAAGGCCCCUGCAAAGAAGGGAGAGAAGGUACCCAAGGGGAAGAAGGGGAAAGCCGGAGCUGGUAAGGAUGCGAAUAAUCCUGCAGAAAAUGGAGAUGCCAAAACAGACCAGGCACAGAAAGCUGAAGGUGCUGGAGAUGUCAAGUGACGUGUGUGCGUUUUUGAUAACUGUGUACUUCUGGUCACUGUACAGUUUGAAAUACUAUUUUUUAUCAAGUUUUAUAAAAAUUCAGAA